UGAAAAUCCUACAGAUCCAACCUUUGCUAUCACAAUCAAAGACUAAUCCCAACCUCUUCUCCAAAUUAAAACCCAUGUAUACGAUCUAAAAGAAAACCCCUCUUUUGUAACCCUAGAUUUAGGUUAUUUGUUCCUAAAACCAAAAGCAAACUCUCAUCAAAUUUUAGUUUACUUGUUCAUAUGCAAACACCUCUCACCAUCGAUUUCAAAAACUAAUCAUAACUGCAUCUUUGAAUCAAAACCCAUCUCAGAAUUAGAACCAUAAUCCUUUAACAUCCCCUAAUUUUUGUAACCCUAGAUACAGUUGAUUAUUCUCCCGAAAUUGAAGCAAACCCUCAUCUCAUAUUCGAUAUAGCUGAAAGUACAAGAAGAAGACUUCACCAGGCAGGACAGGAUUGGAUUCGUAAUGAUAAUGGGUGAGUUGAGGGAAACGAGGAUAGUGAAGAAGCAUAUGCUGCUACAUCGAGUCAUCUUGGGUUUUACUGAUAUGCUAGUUCAACACAUCCCUUCUGCCAAAGAAGCUGCAGCAAGGAAAGUAG